GACGAACGCUGGCGGCGUGCUUAACACAUGCAAGUCGAGCGGUAAGGCCCUUUCGGGGGUACACGAGCGGCGAACGGGUGAGUAACACGUGGGUGACCUGCCCUCAGCUCUGGGAUAAGCCUGGGAAACCGGGUCUAAUACUGGAUAUGACUCCAUGACGCAUGUUGUGGGGUGGAAAGCCUUGUGCGGCUGAGGAUGGGCCCGCGGCCUAUCAGCUUGUUGGUGGGGUGANGGCCUACCAAGGCGACGACGGGUAGCCGGCCUGAGAGGGCGACCGGCCACACUGGGACUGAGGCACGGCCCAGACUCCUACGGGAGGCAGCAGUGGGGAAUCUUGCGCAAUGGGCGAAAGCCUGACGCAGCGACGCCGCGUGAGGGAUGACGGCCUGGUUGUAAC
rnacentral:rRNA from 1 species